rnacentral:lncRNA from 1 species
UCGAUGCACAACAUAUGACAUCAGAGCUUGGGUAGGCGAGAUAUUUAUGAUAUUUUCAACCAAAAAUCAACUGAAAAAGGGCAGAAUCAAAGGCAGAAAGCUAGGACGAAAACAUCCAGUUUUAACAAAACUAAUUGAACCUAUAAACGCGAUGUUCGGCUAAACCACAUGACGGUUGGUGAAACAGAGGCCAGAUUGAGACUCUGCAGGUAGAGCCACUUCUUGGUAGACAGCAUGUGGGGGACGGCGGCUAUGCGUGGGUUUUCAACAGCAGCGUGUGUGAGCGUGUGAGCCAUUUUCUGGUGAAGGUCUGAACUAACAGUUUGCUUCAAGAGGUGUUGUUCAUUUUCAGUUUUGAGCACUAUGGUGAAUUUAGAUGAUUUUGCCUUUGCACGUUCGGAGUUAACUUUUGCUCGAUUGGUUGCUGCAACUGUUGUAGGUAACAAUUUAUGGUUUGCCCAAUAUCUUUUUUUUUUUCUAUUGAAAUUAUUUAUAUUGUGUAGGGUAACAAUUUACUUUACUCAUUAGAUGUCAUCGUGUGGGGGUAACAUCA